AGAGUUUGAUCAUGGCUCAGAUUGAACGCUGGCGGCAGGCCUAACACAUGCAAGUCGAGCGGUAGCACAGAGAGCUUGCUCUCGGGUGACGAGCGGCGGACGGGUGAGUAAUGUCUGGGAAACUGCCUGAUGGAGGGGGAUAACUACUGGAAACGGUAGCUAAUACCGCAUAAUGUCGCAAGACCAAAGUGGGGGACCUUCGGGCCUCAUGCCAUCAGAUGUGCCCAGAUGGGAUUAGCUAGUAGGUGGGGUAACGGCUCACCUAGGCGACGAUCCCUAGCUGGUCUGAGAGGAUGACCAGCCACACUGGAACUGAGACACGGUCCAGACUCCUACGGGAGGCAGCAGUGGGGAAUAUUGCACAAUGGGCGCAAGCCUGAUGCAGCCAUGCCGCGUGUGUGAAGAAGGCCUUCGGGUUGUAAAGCACUUUCAGCGGGGAGGAAGGCGUUAAGGUUAAUAACCUUGUGGCGAUUGACGUUACCCGCAGAAGAAGCACCGGCUAACUCCGUGCCAGCAGCCGCGGUAAUACGGAGGGUGCAAGCGUUAAUCGGAAUUACUGGGCGUAAAGCGCACGCAGGCGGUCUGUCAAGUCGGAUGUGAAAUCCCCGGGCUCAACCUGGGAACUGCAUUCGAAACUGGCAGGCUAGAGUCUUGUAGAGGGGGGUAGAAUUCCAGGUGUAGCGGUGAAAUGCGUAGAGAUCUGGAGGAAUACCGGUGGCGAAGGCGGCCCCCUGGACAAAGACUGACGCUCAGGUGCGAAAGCGUGGGGAGCAAACAGGAUUAGAUACCCUGGUAGUCCACGCCGUAAACGAUGUCGAUUUGGAGGUUGUGCCCUUGAGGCGUGGCUUCCGGAGCUAACGCGUUAAAUCGACCGCCUGGGGAGUACGGCCGCAAGGUUAAAACUCAAAUGAAUUGACGGGGGCCCGCACAAGCGGUGGAGCAUGUGGUUUAAUUCGAUGCAACGCGAAGAACCUUACCUGGUCUUGACAUCCACAGAACUUNUUGGUGCCUUCGGGAACUGUGAGACAGGUGCUGCAUGGCUGUCGUCAGCUCGUGUUGUGAAAUGUUGGGUUAAGUCCCGCAACGAGCGCAACCCUUAUCCUUUGUUGCCAGCGGUUAGGCCGGGAACUCAAAGGAGACUGCCAGUGAUAAACUGGAGGAAGGUGGGGAUGACGUCAAGUCAUCAUGGCCCUUACGACCAGGGCUACACACGUGCUACAAUGGCAUAUACAAAGAGAAGCGACCUCGCGAGAGCAAGCGGACCUCAUAAAGUAUGUCGUAGUCCGGAUUGGAGUCUGCAACUCGACUCCAUGAAGUCGGAAUCGCUAGUAAUCGUAGAUCAGAAUGCUACGGUGAAUACGUUCCCGGGCCUUGUACACACCGCCCGUCACACCAUGGGAGUGGGUUGCAAAAGAAGUAGGUAGCUUAACCUUCGGGAGGGCGCUUACCACUUUGUGAUUCAUGACUGGGGUGAAGUCGUAACAAGGUAACCGUAGGGGAACCUGCGGUUG
rnacentral:rRNA from 1 species